UACGGGGGGGGAGCAAGCGUUGUUCGGAUUUACUGGGCGUAAAGGGCGCGUAGGCGGUCGUGACAAGUCACUUGUGAAAUCUCCGGGCUUAACUCGGAACGGUCAAGUGAUACUGUCGGACUAGAGUACAGAAGGGGCAACUGGAAUUCUCGGUGUAGCGGUGAAAUGCGUAGAUAUCGAGAGGAACACCUGCGGCGAAGGCGGGUUGCUGGGCUGAUACUGACGCUGAGGCGCG
rnacentral:rRNA from 1 species